AUUUUCGUAUUAAACUAUGAGCUUUUUCUUCUUGUGGCUAUGAGGGAUUUCCAUGUUGCUGCACAAUGAACCCACCUUACCUUCUCAUCUUUGGCAGCUGCUUUGGGUUUAUAAUAGAAUCUAAACUGAGAUGAUAGAGUAGCGUGCUAUGAUUUGAAUGUGUCCUUUCUAAAAUGCAGGUGUUAGGGGCGAGCACAGUGGCUCACACCUGUAAUCCCAGCACUUUGGGAGGCCAAAACGGGUGGAUCAACUGAGGUCAGGCGUUCAAGACCAGCCUGGCCAACAUGGUGAAACCCUGUCUGUACUAAAAAAUACAAACGUUAGUUGGGCGUGGUGGUGCACGCCUGUAAUCCCAGCUUCUAGGGAGGCUGAGGCAGGAGAAUUGCUUGAACCCAGGAGGCGGAGAGUACAGUGAGCCAAGAUCACGCCACUACACUCCAGCCUGGGCGACAGAGCAGGACUCCACCUCAAAAAAAAAAAAAAAAAAAAAGAGAGAUAAAUAAAUAAAAUGCAAGUGUUGAAACUUAAUGGCUAAUGUAAUGGUUUUAAGAGGUGAUUGGUCAUGAGGGCUCCUCCCCUUGUGAAUGGAAUGAAGGCCCUCAUAAAAGAGGCUUCAUUCAGCCUUUGGUUUGCUUGCUGGCCUGCCCCUCCCUUCCGCCAUGUGAGGACACAGUGUUCCUCCCCUACAGGGGAUGCAGCAACAAGAUGCCAUCUUGGAAGCAGAGAGCAUCCCUCACCAGAUAACUGAACCUGCCAACACCUUGAUCUUAAAUUUCCCAGCCUCCAGAACUGUGAGAAAUACAUUCCUGUUCUUCAUAAAUGGCCCAGUCUCUGGUAUUCUGUUAUAGCAGCACAAACAGACUAAGACAGCUGAUCAGUCCUCAUGGAGCACCCAGGCAGCUUGGACAGUGAUGAGUCCCUCCCUCAAGUGACUAAUGGGUAGGAGACACCAACCAGAGACUGGAGCUGAAGGGUAUGAGAGGCCUUGUCAGCAGCAUAUAUGUGUGAGACACCUGGAGAAAUACCUGAGGUGGGGAAGAGGAUAGUGCCAGGGUACUAUGAUGAUGAGAUGGGGGUAAUAUGCUAUCAAUACCCAAAGAUUUUUGAGGGCUUUAUCUCUCUCUCUCUCUUUUUUUUUUUUUUUUUUUUUUUGACAGGGUCUCACUCUGUCGCCCAGGCUGGAGUGCAGUGGUGCAAUCUCGGCUUACUGCAACCUCCGCCUUCCAGGUGCAAGCGAUUCUCCUGCCUCAGCCUCUGGAGUAGCUGAGAUUACAAACACAGGCCACCAUGCCUGGCUAAUUUUUUGUUUGUUUGUUUGUUUGUUGUUGUUGUUGUUGUUGUAUUUUUAGUAGAGACGGGGCUUCACCAUGUUGCCCAGGCUGGUCUCGAACUCCUGACCUCAGGUGAUCUGCCCACCUUAGCCUCCCAAAGUACUGGGAUUACAGGCAUGAGCCACCGUGUCCAGCCAAGGCCUAUAUCUAUUUUUUUUUUUUUUUUUGAGACAGUGUCUCGCUUUGUUGCCCAGGCUGGAGUGCAGUAGCACUAUCUCGGCUCACUGCAACCUCUGCCUCCUGGGUUGAAGUGACUCUCCUGCCUCAGCCUCCCAAGUAGCUGGGACUACAGGUGUGUGCCACCAUGCCCAGCUAAUUUUUAUGUAUUUUUAGUAGAGACAGGGUUUCACCAUGUUGGCCAGACUGGUCUCGAACUCCCGACCUCAAGUGAUCCACCCGCCUCAACCUCCCAAAGUGCUGGGAUUACAGGCGUGAGCCACCAUGCCCUGCCAAGUGCUCUAUGGAUCAAGACUUCCUUGGGUGCAAGUCCAAGUGACAAGCAUCAAACUCAAACUGGCCUAAGCAAAAAAAGGCAAAUUAUUGAGUCACUUCAUUUAAAAAGUCAAGGGGUUCAAACAAUGUCACCAGGUCUUGUUUUUCUCCCUCUGUUUUCUGCCUGGUAUUUUCUGGUUUUUACUUAUUUUUAGCCCAACUUCCUACAGGUCCCAGAACUCCAGCCUUGCAUCAGCCUGAUUCUGUCAAUCCCUGCUAAAAGGGAUACCUUUAUUUCUACUUAGUUUAAUUAAAUAAAGGUCCCAGGGUGGAAACUCAUUGGCUGCAGUUGUGCCACUUGCUAGUGCAUGAGCCAGUGAGAAUGGAAGAGCAGCCGGGCCUGGAACACGAAGGAUGGGAUCCCUCUGUUCACACAACAUGAACUGAGAGGAAAGCAGAGCAUUCCUCCUCGGAGAUCAAAACACUGUUACCACACAAAGAGCGAAUCAGUGAUGAGCAGAAAAAGAAACAUAUGUGCGUGAACAGCGGUGUGCAAAAUCGCAUGUUUUUUAAACUCCUGACAAAUGGUCAAGCAGAAUAUAGACAAGAGUGGAAGACUCGAGCUCUAGCCAGAAGCAGAUGGGGCUGAUUUCUAGAGUAAGAAGGAGAAGGAAUGUGUGGGAGAGCAGAGAGCAGAAAUGGUGAGAUCUGGAGGUAUUAACAAGGCCACUCUGACAGCCUAUCAACUAGAAAUGAGUUGCAGGACAGAGAGCAGAGAG
rnacentral:lncRNA from 1 species